ACAUAACAAGAAGCACUCAACACUGUGCUAAAACUUUAAACAUUAAAUUGAAAAAAAAAAAGAAAAGAAAAGAAAAAGGGCCCAAAAUUUUAUUUCAACUAAAAAUAAACAAAUCCUCUCCCUUUUCAUCGUGCGAGAAGGAAUUUCCUUUUGUCAACAAAAAAAGAAAACCAAGAGAGAGAGAGAGAGAGAAAACACCAUUUUGUGACAAAGACAUGGCAAAUAAAGAACAAAUUUUUCAAACACGAAAACGCACCCCACCACUCCCAAAAUCCUCUCGUUUCAGUAAACAAUUGGUGGUGCUAAAAAAAAUCGCAUGUGGUUCAAAGAAACCCAAGGCAGAGCCAGCGGCAGAGACUGAGAGACCCUCUGUUGAGCAGAAGAAAUUUGCCCCAAUUCCAUUCCACCACAAAUCACGCAGUCCUGCUUCGUGGGUUUCAAUUUGGUCUGAAACAACUGUAGAAGAUAAGCACGCCAACCCAACUGAGACACAAAGAAAGAAAGAAAGAAAAAUCAAACCCAAAAUCCAUCCAUCCCAUUUGAGGUGUAUCUUUGAUGUGUCCUCUAUCCUGAACAACAUUCCAAGCAAAGCUAGCUGGCCAAACGAGUCCGUGCAAUGAUUCAGCUGUUUUGGAAUGGGGUUAUUGCAACCACAAAGAUUGGUUCAUAUGCUUUGCCUGCUGAUUUUUUCAUAUUCAUUUCAGCCUUUCCAGGUUGGAGAAAACCGACGAGAAUCUUGAACUUUAUGGAGAGAAGUAUCGCACCACCCCGACCUAGUUGAAUGGUCCAAAGGCAGCUGCAAAAGGAUAAAGGUAACUUAUUAUAUGGAACCUUUGGGGCAAGUUAGCUUUGAAUUCUGAGAUGUUUGCUCUGCCUUUCUCCAAGAUUUAUGCUGGUGAAGUAGAACGAAAUAGAAAAGGUUACUGCCAGAGGAAUGUCUAGAGGGCAAUUUUUCUUUGCGUCAUCGAGAAGCUUGCAAAAAUCUUGAAUAGCAUCAACUUGAGCUUGUUUUUGAAUAGGCAACAAUUGAACUUUCAGCAGUGAGGAGAGAAAGAGAGAGAGAGAGAGAUUAUGUUAAAGAGUUUCUUACAAAAAUAGAAAUUUUGGACUGGAAAGUCCAUUUAGGCUUGUAGUGUCAUUUGAUAUGAUCUCAUGCUGCUUGUGUUUACGCAUAUUCUGAGUGUCAAGAAGAUACACGGGGGAGCCCGUCGACAUCUCGUGGUCGUGGCCCGGGGAUUCUCAUCUUCUUUCACUUAGACAUUCGACCAUUGGCUUGGUAUAAUUUUUUUGUCAUAUGAUUGUCGUUUAAUCCUUCCAACUUGCAUGAAUAAAAAUAGUUUAAAGAAUCGUGUUGAUGAAUAUGUUUUGAGGGUCCAUUUUUUAAUUUUAAAAACAUGUUCUAAAAUUUUGUAAGUUAAAAAAAAUAAUAAAACAUCAAAAAUUCCAUUUUGACCCAUUCCAAAGUUUGAUAACCAAUUAGAUAGAAAAGAAAUAUCUCCAAAUAUCUCUCUAAUACCAAGAUUUUAUUUAUCAACCAAAGCCUCAACGGAUUAGAUUCCAUUGGUCAUUCUUGAGAAGUCCCAUGCAUAUAUUUGAAUCUCUACCCCUUGUACUCAAAAUAAUAAUAAAUCGGACAAGUCAAGAUUAACCUAUAUAUUAAAACUCCAUCUAUUAUUUUAAGUUCAGCACUAAUAAUUACGAAAUGUGACAAAAGUAAUCAAAAAUCGAAUAUUAGCAAUGGAUUAAACAUAAUUCAUACUAUUCGUAGUCCCUUUAAACAUUUCAUGAUAUUCUUUAAAAAAUAGUAAAAAACCAUCAGAGAGAAGAAUUCAAUUACCGAUAGAAAACUGAGCUUUACAGGCCCCAAAAACAGGCCCAUGUGUGAAGUUACAAAGCCCAGAGGCCCACUAUAUUCCCGCUCCCAUAAACGACAAAUUUAUCCCGCAACAUAGAAUAUUCCAAAAACAUUUUAUCAGAUUCCAUAAUUACUUGUCCGCUACGCAACCCGAGAUGCGGGCCCAUGGAGGUACUGUUUAGAAACCCGAAUCAUUACAAAUAUCUGACGCCUUUAACGCAAAAAUAUCUCGAAUCGUACUACGAUAUUUUUUCUACAGCUGUCAACAGGAUUAGAACGAAACCAGAUCCACCCAUUUCUCAUCACAGCUUUAAAAUUGCAUAAAUAUAUUUCUCUUCGCCGGCCGACGGAACUGGUUUGAUUAAAAUUAUAUCGAAUUUGCGUUUCUCUAUUCAAAGCUUUGAGAACUUUGGGCAUGGCGGAAGCGGAAUAAACAAUGAUUUAAUGAAAACGAAGACUGGAAAUAUUUGUAUGGAGUGAGAACGAAUGAUUUAAUGAAAACGAAGACUGGAAAUAUUUGUAUGGAGUGAGAACGAAGAGCUGCACUUCAUUUUCUUAUGUAAUAUUUUUUUUCCUUGUAACAUAGAGCGACAAUGAGGAACACGAAACCCAUCGGUCAUCGGUCAUCGGUCAAAAAAGAGAGGCACCAAA